rnacentral:rRNA from 1 species
ACGGUGUGAUUCAUGACUGGGGUGAAGUCGUAACAAGGUAGCCGUAGGGGAACCUGCGGCUGGAUCACCUCCUUA